CCAAUAGUGUAUAUUAAAGUUGUUGCAGUUAAAAAGCUCGUAGUUGAAUUUCGGGAUCAUCAGGUCGGUCGUGCCUCUGGUAUGUACUUGCUUCGAUGGUCCCUCCUUCUUGAAGAACCGUAAUGCCAUUAAUUUGGUGUUGCGGGGAAACAGGACUGUUACUUUGAAAAAAUUAGAGUGUUUAAAGCAGGCAAUCGCUUGAAUACAUUAGCAUGGAAUAAUGAAAUAGGACGUUCGAUCCUAUUUUGUUGGUUUCUAGGAUUGACGUAAUGAUUAAUAGGGAUAGUUGGGGGCAUUAGUAUUCAAUUGUCAGAGGUGAAAUUCUUGGAUUUAUUGAAGACUGACUACUGCGAAAGCAUUUGCCAAGGAUGUUUUCAUUAAUCAAGAACGAAAGUUAGGGGAUCGAAGACGAUCAGAUACCGUCGUAGUCUUAACCAUAAACUAUGCCGACUAGGGAUCGGAUGAUGUUAAUUUUUUAAUGACUCAUUCGGCGCCUUACG
rnacentral:rRNA from 1 species